GCCGUCAGUCAGAACAUUGGCCUCAACAAUGCUGCUCUGUUUGCUUGGCUUUCUAUCCACAUUUGGAGGUGUCAGCUGUGGCGAUGUCAUCACUCCUGCCCAAACUGAGGUGUAUGGAGAGAGUGGGAAUAAAGUCACGCUGUCGUGCAACUACUCCACAGCACUUUCUUUAUACUGGUAUCGUCAAUAUCCAGGAUCAAAUCCACAUUGCCUUCUUCUGAUACUAACAAAAAGCGAAACAUCUGAAAACAUGCAGCCUGGAAUGUCAGUGAGAUUACAUGAAGAGAAAGCCUCUAUGGAUCUGGAGAUCUCCUCUGCCAAACUAACAGACUCGGCAGUUUACUACUGUGCGUUGAAGCCCACGUAGGUACAGCAAUGUUUCAAGAGGUGGAGCUCUCAGACUAGUUUGACAUGACUUGAACUGAGCUUGUCUUCUGUUGUGAAAACCUCAUCACUGUCAGUCUUUCUGACA